rnacentral:rRNA from 1 species
AAGGGUGCGUAGGUGGCGUGGAAAGUUGAGUGUGAAAUCCUAGGGCUUAACCUUAGAACUGCACUCAAUACUCCCAUGCUAGAGGAAUGUAGAGGAGAGUGGAAUUCACGGUGUAGCAGUGAAAUGCGUAGAUAUCGUGAGGAAGACCAGUUGCGAAGGCGACUCUCUGGGCAUCUCCUGACACUGAGGCACGAAGGCUAGGGGAGCAAACGGGAUUAGAUACCCCGGUAGUCCUAGCAGUAAACGGCGCACGUUUGGUGUGGGCAGGCUCAGACCCUGUCCGUGCCGGAGCUAACGCGUUAAACGUGCCGCCUGGGAAGUACGGUCGCAAGAUUAAAACUCAAAGAAAUUGACGGGGGCCCGCACAAGCGGUGGAGUAUGUGGCUUAAUUCGAUGCACCGCGAAGAACCUUACCUGGUCUUGACAUGCAUCUCUAAGGUAGUGAAAGCUAUCGAGUGUAGCAAUACACAAUUUGCACAGGUGCUGCAUGGCCGUCGUCAGCUCGUGUCGUGAGAUGUUGGGUUUAGUCCCGCUACGAGCGCAACCCCUGUGUCCUGUUGCCUGCAAAGGCUCUCUGGACAGACUGCCCUGUGAAACGGGGAGGAAUGGUGGGGAUGACGUCAAGUCAGUAUGGCCUUUACGAUCCAGGGCUGCACACGUACUACAAUGCCCAGUACAGAAUGAACCGAAGCCGCGAGGUAGAGGAAAUCUCAAAAACUGGGCCCAGUUCGGAUUGAAGGCUGCAACUCGCCUUCAUGAAGCCGGAAUCGC